GGUUAAUUAGAGGAAAAGUUUUUCCAAGAAUAAAAGAAGCAAGCAGGUGAAGAAGUAAUUCUCUCUUAACCAUUCUAUCCCUAGCAUCUAACAUAGUGCCUGGCAACUAAUACGGACUCAGGAAGUUCGUGCUGAAAGAAUGAAUGAAUAAAUGAAUAAAAUAAGGAAAAUUAGCCCUGAGCUAACAUCUGCUGCCAAUCCUCCUCUUUUUGCUGAGGAAGACUGGCUCUAAGCUAACAUCCAUGCCCAUCUUCCUCUACUUUCUAUGUGGGACGCCUGCCACAGCAUGGCUUGCCAAGCGGUGCCAUGUCCGCACCCGGGAUCCCAACCUGUGAACCCUGGGCCACUGAAGCGGAACAUGCACACUUAACCACUGCGAAACUGGGAAUCGAAGGUGAAGAGUGACGUUAUUCCUAAGAGAAAUCACUUUUCUCCCUUGUCCAGAUAAUGUUAGAGGAAGCCACUCCCUAUAUCUCAGCCUCCAGGACUUCACGGGCACCUUAUCAUUAGGGAGGAAACCCAAAGAUUUGCUGUGACAGGCAUGGAGGGAGCUCUCCCACGUGAGUGUUUGCCACGUGCAUCACAGGGCAAGGCAGGACGGGGAUGGGCUCAGUCAAGCUGAUUUAUCUUUGGUCUUCGCUGCAUCAUGUCACUUAUUGUCUGUGGUAUGCAGAAUCCCUAUUUUAUCUUGGGAUUUCUCUCCAGAGGCCCAUGACCUUCUGGAGGCCUCCCUCUGGCAAAGAUUCGUGAACUACAUCUCUUUUAUCUUAUCCCUUAGGUGUGACUGGUAAAGCUUUAUAUAUGAGAUCUGGGGCUUAGCCCCAGAGGAAUAAAUCUCUAAGUCUGUUUAUACAGCAUGUAUGCUGAGCUACUUUUGAGAAUUAGAGGGUUGAGGAGAGGGCAUUGUCCCACUGCUUCUAAAAGGACACCAGGUAAGGUGCACAGAGGGAAGGGGUUCUGGCUAAGUAGCACCUAUUUGCUCAACUCUGUAUUUAGACCCUGAAGUGACUUGUAAGUUUCUGUGAGAAUCAACCUCACAGAGGGGGUUUUCUCCAGGAUACUGGAGUUAGCAACACCAACCCAAU
rnacentral:lncRNA from 1 species